rnacentral:lncRNA from 1 species
AUGGUUGAUGGCGCUUGUAUAGGAGGAGGGCCAUGGGGACCCGGGGACCCAGGAUUAGGAGGCUGCAGAGGAUUCCACAGAGGUCUUAUGGGCCUCAAUCUUGAUCAAGGCUAUUGCUGUGAUCGAUGCUAUGGGGCUCAUGGAGGUAAAGCUGAAGACAAAGAGUGGAUCCCCAUCACCAAGCUGGCCCACCUGGUUAAGGACAUGAAGAUGAAGUCCUUGGAAGAGAUCUACCUAUUCUCCCAUAAAGGAGUCUGAGAUCAUUGACUUUUUUCUGGGUGCAUCCCUAAAGGAUGAGGUUCUGAAAAUCAUGCCAGUGCAGAAGCAGACUCAGCAGACUCGGGCUGGCCAGCGGACAGGCAUUUGUCCCCAUUGGGGACUACAAUGGUCAUGUUGGUCUUGGUGUUAAGUGCUCCAAGGAGGUUGCCACUGUCAUCCAAGGGGCCAUCAUCUUGGCCAAGCUUUCUGUUGUCCCUGUGAGGAGAUGCUACUGGGGGAACAAGAUUGGCAAGCCCCACACUGUACUAUGCAAGGUGACAGGCAACUUGGCUCUGUGCAGGUGCCUCUCAUCCCUGCCCCCAGAGGCACUGGCAUUGUCUCUGCUCCCAUGCCCAAGAAGCUCCUGAUGAUGGCUGGUAUAGGUGAUUACUACAUUUCAGCCAGAGGCUGCACUGCCACCCUGGGCAACUUUGCCAAGGCCGCCUUUUGUGCCAUUUCUAAGACCAGCAGCUACCUGACCCCCACACUCUGGAAAGAGACUAUGUUCACCAAGUCUUCUUAUCAGGAAUUCACUGGUAAGCUUGUAGAAACCCAGACCAGAGUCUCUGUUAAGAGGAUCCAGGCUCCAGCUGUGGCUACC